UAGUCGGAGGUGUGUCUCGGACGGUCGGUUCGCCGCUUGUCGGUGCUCAACUGGCCGGUCCGGACGUCCUGCCGGUGGGGCCUCGAGGCUCCGUCAUCCUUCUUUGGUCCUCUUCACCGAGUGCCUUGGUGGGCCGGCACGUUUACUUUGAACAAAUUAGAGUGCUCAAAGCAGGCCGUUGGUCGCCUGAAUACUGUGUGCAUGGAAUAAUGGAAUAGGACCUCGGUUCCAUUUUGUUGGUUUUCAGAACUCGAGGUAAUGAUUAAUAGGGACGGACGGGGGCAUUCGUAUUGCGACGUUAGAGGUGAAAUUCUUGGAUCGUCGCAAGACGAACCGAUGCGAAAGCAUUUGCCAAGAACGUUUUCGUUGAUCAAGAACGAAAGUUAGAGGUUCGAAGGCGAUCAGAUACCGCCCUAGUUCUAACCAUAAACGAUGCCAGCUAGCCAUCCGCCGAAGUUCCUUCUAUGACUCGGCGGGCAGCUUCCGGGAAACCAAAGCUCUUGGGUUCCGGGGGAAGUAU
rnacentral:rRNA from 1 species